CUGCAGCCAAUUAAGCCGACCAGGUUCCUUUCCUCAUAGGAGUCUGGUGUGCAAUGGUUGCAAACAGCAUCCUCCUUGCUAGUUAGUGUAUGCAGCCUGCUGAAUGUGCAGGCUGCCCAAAGGGACCUUGGAGACAGUC
rnacentral:snoRNA from 1 species